GCAUAGUGAUAACUCAGUUCAUAGAGCAUGAGACUCAAUCUCAGAGUCGUGGGUUCGAGCCCCAUCUUGGGCA